rnacentral:rRNA from 1 species
CAGUCGCCGCGGGAAUACGUAGGUGGCAAGCGUUGUCCGGAUUUAUUGGGCGUAAAGCGAGCGCAGGCGGUUUCUUAAGUCUGAUGUGAAAGCCCCCGGCUCAACCGGGGAGGGUCAUUGGAAACUGGGAGACUUGAGUGCAUAAGAGGAGAGUGGAAUUCCAUGUGUAGCGGUGAAAUGCGUAGAUAUAUGGAGGAACACCAGUGGCGAAGGCGGCUCUCUGGUCUGUAACUGACGCUGAGGCUCGAAAGCGUGGGGAGCAAACAGGAUUAGAUACCCCCGUAGUCCCUGUCUCUUAUAC